ACUUUAAUAAUUUAAAUAAAAUAAUGGUCUUGUAAACCAUCAUUAAGUAAACACUUUUAAAGUA
rnacentral:tRNA from 1 species